GAGACACCCCUGUGGAGCAGGACUUGCUUCAGUUGGGGCUUUGCUGCUCACUGAGUCUUCUCCUUGAGUGUGUCGCU
rnacentral:pre_miRNA from 1 species